AACGCACAUUGCGCCCCCUGGCAUUCCGGGGGGCAUGCCUGUCCGAGCGUCAUUUCUACCCUCAAGCGCGGCUUGUGUGUUGGGUGUGGUCCCCCCUCGCGUUGGGGGGACCUGCCCGAAAGGCAGCGGCGACGCCCCGCCCCGGUCCUCGAGCGUAUGGGGCUUUGUCACCUGCUCGGGAGGGACCCGCGGGCGUUGGCCAUCCACUAUUCUUUAACGGUUGACCUCGGAUCAGGUAGGAGUUACCCGCUGAACUUAA
rnacentral:misc_RNA from 1 species